rnacentral:rRNA from 1 species
AAAAGAAACUAACUAGGAUUCCCUUAGUAACGGCGAGUGAACCGGGAUGAGCUCAAAUUUAAAAUCUGGCGUCUUUCAGGCGUCCGAGUUGUAAUCUAUAGAGGCGUUUUCCGCGCCGGACCGCGUCCAAGUCCCUUGGAAUAGGGUAUCAAAGAGGGUGACAAUCCCGUACUUGACGCGACGACCGGUGCUCUGUGAUACGUUCUCAACGAGUCGAGUUGUUUGGGAAUGCAGCUCUAAAUGGGUGGUAAAUUCCAUCUAAGGCUAAAUAUUGGCGAGAGACCGAUAGCGAACAAGUACCGUGAGGGAAAGAUGAAAAGCACUUUGGAAAGAGAGUUAAACAGCACGUGAAAUUGUUAAAAGGGAAACGAUUGAAGUCAGUCGUGUGGGAGGUAUUCAGCCGUCUCUGGCGGUGUAUUUGCCUCUCACGGGUCAACAUCAGUUUGAUCCGGUAGAAAAAGGCGGGAGGAAGGUGGCACCCUCGGGUGUGUUAUAGCCUCCUGUCACAUGUGCCGGACCAGACU